CCUACGGGAGGCAGCAGUGGGGAAUAUUGUGCAAUGAACGAAAGUUUGACACAGCGACACCGCGUGUGGGAUGACGGAUCUAGGUUUGUAAACCACUUUCAGGAGGGAAGAAAAUGACGGUACCUCCACAAGAAGCCCCGGCCAACUACGUGCCAGCAGCCGCGGUAAUACGUAGGGGGCGAGCGUUGUCCGGAUUUAUUGGGCGUAAAGAGCUCGUAGGCGGUUCAACAAGUCGGUAGUAAAAGUUCAGGGCUCAACCCUGAAAUGUCUAUCGAUACUGUUGUGACUAGGAUACGGCAGAGGUGAGUGGAAUUCCGAGUGUAGCGGUGAAAUGCGUAGAUAUUCGGAGGAACACCAAUUGCGAAGGCAGCUCACUGGGCCGCUAUCGACGCUGAGGAGCGAAAGCUAGGGGAGCAAACAGGAUUAGAUACCCUGGUAGUCCUAGCUGUAAACGAUGGAUACUAGACGUAGGAACUGGAUUGACGGUUUCUGUGUCGUAGCUAACGCGUUAAGUAUCCCGCCUGGGGAGUACGGUCGCAAGACUAAAACUCAAAGGAAUUGACGG
rnacentral:rRNA from 1 species